rnacentral:lncRNA from 1 species
UUUUUUUUUUUUGGUUUCAGGGUAUCAAAGAACUUAUAUUUAAGAACGGAGGGAGUAUUUUUGAAAGGAGAAAUAACUAUCAACGCCUCGAGGAGAAACGUAUACACAGGCGAUUCUCAUUCCAGCUAAAUUCUCAACUUCUGAUGAAGCCAUGACUCUACACAGUUUCCGACAAACAACAAAUUCCCGCACAAAAAAUACUGGAAAAAGGGAAUAAGAAAUGUAUAUACAGGCGAUGCUCUCACAUAUCAUGAAUCAGGACAGGUACUCAAAAGGUUGGGGCGGCUGGGGCUCGUCGUCGUCGACGGCCAUGGCAGAGGCACCGGGCACCGGCUGCCCUGUCGCGGGGGCGUCGGUGAGCACGACGAGCUCCUCGGCCUCGCUGGGCUGCAUGUCUCGUAGGAGGAUGAACCCGCCGCAGGGGGCGGGCCUCACGGGGACGUAUCGGCUGCCCUCGAUGAACUUGAUGAACUUCUCCUGCAGGGGGACGACGCGGGCUGGGUUCGCCAGGAUCUGGAAGGCCGGUUCUGGCUCUGGAGCCUUCUUCUCUGCAGUGCUGUCCACCUGGGAACAAAGAUUUCAGAGAGACGGGUCAAUCCAAAUGAGGCAGACACUGGGGUGGGUUCAUUACUGAGCAGCACAAGGCUGCAUAUUAACAGCUAAGGGCCAAGGGCGUAGCUAUGUUGUACUUGCUGUGAUGUCUAGUCCGUAAGAGGAUGCUGAUACAGUAACCAAGAUGGUUGUGAUGAAGUAAAACGACUAGAAUGUGGUUUAAUUAAUUAUAGGCUGAACCUUUCGAAGUUUGUAAAAUUCUUGGGUGAUGGGAAGAGGGUGAAGCGAAGCACAGAUUAAAUGAAGUUUUAUUCUUACCUGCAUUGCAUCAGCUGCCUUGCCAGAAGUAGAACCGGAAGCAUCUUCCGUUGACUUCUCCUGGUUAGCAGCUUUGCUUUCUGCUUCUGCUGCUGUCUUCUCCUGGUUAGCAGCAGCUUUGCUUUCCGCAUCCUUCUUCGCCCUAGAUUUUGCCUUGGCAUAGGUUGACAAAAUGGCUGUGGGCAGCUCGACAGCCGAAGUUGUAGCCUGCUGGGUCGUCGGUUUCGGAUACUCAAAGAGGGACGGCUUAGCAUGUGACAUAAAUUCAAACUUCGGCACUUCCAGAUUCGAGUUGAGACCCAUGAUGGCCGUUGGCGAGAAGGCCAGGCUGAUGAAGUAUAGGAGAGGGUACCAGUACCAGAACUGGGUGAAAACAGCGAGGCCAAUCACAGCAGUGAGCUUGUCAUGCUUGUUCCUCGAGCGAAGUUUGAUUGUGACAUUCCUGCCACCGGCAUCUAGAAUGCCAGAAGCAAGUAUGGCGCCCAUUUUGCUCAUGGUGUCCUCGUGCUUGUCAAGAAUGAUCUUUUCCAACUGACGCCUAAAUGUUCCAACACGAGAAUCAAAGGACUCAUUAGUCUGGAUCAUGACCAUUGCCAUAGCAAUUAGAGCCCCCUGGCGUACGAAGUCAACAACGUCUGAUGUGAGAGGCUCCAACAAGGAAAUGGCAUCACUUAACCCUGUGCCUGCACAGGAUAUCCCAACAGCUAGGGCUGCACCAUAACGAACAUGUGGGUUGUACGAUUCAGAGAGCAGGGACACAAUUCUUGGAGUCUGCAUUAUCAGAACAGAAGAUGUAAGUUGUGGAUCAAAGCUAUUGAUGAUUCUUUAUUUUAGCAUUUUUUUCUAUUAGAUGCCAAAGAGGUGCAGCAGCAUAAAUGCAUAAUGAACACCAGGUCCAUGUUGUUCCUUGGAAUAAAAUUGAAUAGAGGGCAGACCUGCUCAGGUUCGUUGUAUAGAACAAAUCCAAGACCCAUAACUGCAGUCCUACGAACAUCAUCACUGACGUCCGAUACAGCGAAGUGCAGCAGCUGAUGGAUAGCUUUGUUGUUUGCAGUUCCUCUGUACGCUAGAGCCAAUGCAUACAUACCACCAUAACGUAGUAUGGGAUCUUGAUCUCUAGUCAUUUGUUCGAUCAAGGUGUCAGCUUCCUCCUCCCUGCCAUACAUUGUCAAUGCGAUGCCAAGUGCCAAACCCCUGCGGAGCGAGAGAGAAAGAUGUCAGAAACAAGAGCUAGAUGCAUCUUCAGAAAUACCGCAACAAUUAUUGAACAGCACUGACCUGAUAAUCUUUUCAUGCUGUGUAUCAUGUGCAUAAGCAAGCAUCUCACCGGCCUUCUCACUGGCUGUGCCAACCAUGAGCAAACCCAUGCCGAUACCAGCUGCUUCACCAGCUACUGCACUGUCUGUGUAAAGGACAUUCUUUAUGUCCUCAAACACUUCUUCAUCUGCUGUCCCGAGAGAUGCAAGCCCAAGUCCCAAACAGGCACCAUGCUGGAUGACCUGUAUAAUAAUACAGUUUUGAUUAAGAAAAUUCACAAUAUAAUUAGCAUUACGCAAAAAGGACAAGGAACAAAAUGUCACCUCUGCACUGGUGUUGCGAAGGCUUUCACGGAGGAAUUGUUUGAUUCCUUCGCCAUGGUUGGCAUGAAUCAAACCUAAAGCAUAGAGGGCACCACCUUCUGAAUAUGGACUGCCACCACCAACUGCACCAUUUUGAGGUAGGUACGGGGCCAUCAAAGCCCGACCUUGCUGAAGGUGGCCUCUAUGAAUGACACCCAGUCCAGCUGUCGCACUAAAUUUAGCCCACUUGGUUGCCUUGCUUAACCAUUCCUAAAAGACAAUACCAAAAUGAGACAUUACAGGGGCAAAAAAAAAACUCUGCAUGACAACAAAACAACCAGAUUUUUUUUUACCAGAUUUUCUCUUAAAAAGGUAUCUACAGUUGUUCCUGCAUGCAUGAUCGCAUUGGAACAAACAGUUGCACUAUGGCAAACAUUGCCACUCGUUUCCACAGCCUGCUUUAUUGUCUUCAGAAUUAGAAGAUCAGACCUACCAAACAAACAAACCCAUCAAGGUGAUGUCAGAUAUAGAAGUUGCAAGAGACCAGGGUUCAACGUUUAGGACAUAAUAAGUUUACCUGUUGUGGCUAUACAAAAAUUGCAGCGUAAGCUGAAUAGACUUCUCCCCUGACAGUAUCCCUUUAAGUUUUGCAAGCCUAUCAGCAUGCGCUGCCUCAUUUGGAUCCACUGGGUGAGCAUUUCUGUUUGAAGUAGUUGUGCCAUCUCCCAUCUGAACAUCACCCGCUGGUUCUGUGCUAGUUGUACGCGCGUUAACAGUCUGAUCAACCGGUAAAGCUGACUGGCCAGGAGUCUGUGAGUCCAGGCGAUUCCCCACAUUCAGAAGGAAGGCCUGAUUUUCAUUUUCCACUAGAUCAAAAGCAAUUUGGUAUGCAAUGAGAGCAUCAUCCUGCAUAAUGAACACAAUAUCUCAAGUAAGCAACAGAGACCACAAUGUAAGUAGUGGUGGGCAGAGUAAAGAACAAACAUAUACCUGGCUUCCAGAAAGUAGUGUGUCCAAUAUAUUCGCAACAGUUUCAUGCUCGCCCAGAACCAUAAGGCACUGGCAGAUGCUCAGAUAAUCUGGAUGCGGCAAAGUCUGGUAUAUUUUAACAAGACAGCGAAGAACCUGGCAAUAAAAUGAAUUAUUAGAUCAACACAUAAAGAAUGUUAAUUUUUGAUUAUUGUAAACUAAACUACUUGCUUUUUAACUUAAUAAACCAAUCAUACUGCCAAAUAAAUUUUAACAUAAAAAACUUAGGAUACCUCAGAACGAUAUUCACGGUGACUAACAUAUUGAUGAGAAAAGUUGAUGCAAUAUGAAAGAGCCCCGUGAAUAUUAGCACACUGAACAAUUGCUUCCUCCAGCUUAUCCAGUCUCCUGCAUUCAACAGCCAUACCCAUGGCCUGUUGGUAUUUCCCAUCAAGAAUACACCUGCAGCAAAGAGUAACAUUAGCUAAAUACUCCAUCUGAUAAAUAAGAGUAUAUGUGCAAACGGUAGGAUAUAUUAUCAUACCUCUCCAACAUCCUCUCCACUAUGGCCUCUAGUCUAGGAUCCACAUUCUCUUCUUCCUCCAUAGCUUUAGAAGCUCUUGUCUUGAAACUCGCAUAUUCAUCUAAUGCUUUGGCUGAAAGAAAAGAAGCACCAAUUCAACACAAUGAGCAAAAGAAAUUCAUGUGAAAUAACAUCCAGAAUGAUUGAGAAAUAAAGACAAGUCGUCACCUAAAAGAGCCAGAGCAUAAUCAGAAUCCUCAGAAACAUCAAACAGAGGUCCAGCACCAAGUGCAUACGACAGUGCAUCGUUUAACUCGCCCAGGUAGUAGAACACCUACAUGAUAAUGAUACGCAGCAGUCAUCAAUAUAAGCAAUGCAAAAUACGCCGCUUCUAGAAAAGGUAUAAAAUAACUUGAGAUCCUACCUUAGAAACAACUAGUGCAGCAAGCUGUCUCUGGUCAAAUUCGUCGUCUUCAUACAUGCUCUCGCUGCAGGCAAAAGGAUAUGAUGGAAACAAAUUAUUGAUUUGCUUCCUUGGAAAUUCAGACAAGGAAUUUAUAAUCUGAGCUUGGGUAACAAACAAUAGAUUGACUUCCCAAAACAUGUGUCAUCCUAAACUAUUGCAACUUUGCAAGUAACAGUUGAAUGGUCAGUCUGUCAAAGAUGUUUCUUAGCACAGGGCAGGCAUUACAACUGAACUGAUUAUAAGCAACCGAGCGAAUCGAACUCGUAAAACAACUUGCACCAAACUGAAAGUUGAAAGCUUUCUGAAUUGUCUCCCCUCCUCAGUUGACACCUCACUCCUACAACUGUCAGUUAUAUCUAUCAAAGUGCAAAGAGUUGAAAUUUUUACGACUGCUACCAAAUACAGUAGCAUCGUUUUGUGAAUUCGCUUCGAACUCUCACGGAGGGCACAUCCGCGCACUCGGACCGGACGAGGCCAACCAAACGAAUCGCGGGACGGAAGGGAAAUCCUCGUCAACCGGCCGGCAUCUAGGGCGGCGGCAACUAGGUAUCGCGGGGAGGAUACGGGAGGGGGGGAGGGGUCUCACAUGGCGGGGAUGCUGGUGGAGAUCUCCGGGUAGAAGAGGUGGACGACGGAGUUGAGGCUGGCGAGCGCGUGCAGCUUGAGCUCCUCCGCCGGCUCGUGGAGCAUGGCGAGGAUCCCGCCCGCCGAGCUCACCGUCGCUGUCGCCGCCAUGGCCGCGUCGGCGAAGAGGUUGGUGUGCGCGAUGGUCUGUGGUUCGGUUCGGUGCGGGGCGUGUCGUGAGUUGGAGGAUGAGCACGCGAGACCUGGUACGCCGUCGUUGGGUUGCGGGCGAAUAUAAGGGCAGGACGGCGCGAUGGGUCGGUCGACUCGACUAGGGAGUCGGGCGACCAGUCCGACGCCAAAUCCUUCUGCGCUCCGUAACGAAACGGGCCGGCCCACUUAGCAGUGGUAUAGGAGUGGUCUGGCCGGUUUCUUUUGUGUGUUUUCUGUCCGUUUUCUGCUGGCGUUUGUUCAUUUUUUAACUUUUCUGUUUUCUAUUUAUUUUUCUUCAUCUUAAUUUUCGUGAAUUUUUAUUUUUAAAAUUCGUGAUUUUUUAUAUUCACAAAUUUUGACCAAAUUAGUGAACCUUUUCCAAAUUAUCUAAUCUUUUACCAAAUUUUACAAUUUUUCUGUAAUUCGUGACUUUUUCAAAUUUUGUUUUUUUAAGUAAAAAAUUCCAAAUUCAUGAACUCUUAUCCAAAUUCAUUAAAUGUUUUAAAUUCUUGCUAUUUUUCAAAUUCAUGAACUUUUUCAAUUUUGUGAAGUUUUUUCAAAACCCGUGAACAAUUUUUUUGAAUUAUAUGCUUUUUGAAAUCACAUGAACUUUCUCGAAAAGGAAAAUGGUUAACAGUCUAAGUCAAAGGUCAACUUAUCGGAAAGUGAACCAAUCAAACCAUCAACCCUCUCAGCCACUCGCUCACCCGUGCCAUGUGGUGAGCACCACUUUGUUGGGACGGCCCACAAGCCCUCUCACGUGAGCAUCAUUUGCAUAACAAGGGCAGCAGGUUCUGAGGAGGAGGUCUAUAGUCCUACUAUGUUUGUUGACUUCAUUCGCGAUCAGGCGGAAGAGUCAGUUUUCGUCCGCACCUGGCUGAAGAUGACGUUUUCGUCCAAGCAUGGGCCAAAGAUGGACUCUUUGUUGCGGCUCUGGGCGAAAAUCAUCUCUUUAGUCAAUGUUAGACCGAAGAGGGCUUCUAGGUCCACCUCUUCACGUAAACUGCCAACAAAGUUGCAUGUCGUUCUUAGGGCGGACGAAAAGUUGCUCUAGAGAAACAAUUCGAGGUUUCACGGAAAAUCAAGGGGACAAUGUCCUAGUGCCGACAUUGGGGACGAGUUUUGAUACUUUGGGAGAAGCCUACGACUUUUACAACCUGUACUCUUGGGAGAAGGGAUUCGGCAUUAGGUAUGGAAAGAUUUGACUAGGCCUCCUUUGGCUUGGAGGAAUUUUAGAGGACAGGAUUCUUAUAGUUUAUUUUUUUUCUUUAGAGCCCUUUGGUUCAUAGGAAUGGAUUCCUAUUCCUACAUAGGAUUGCUUCCUAUCCUCCACAUUUCAUAGGAAAAUAAAAAUGAGCCUAGACUCAAUGGAAAAAUUCCUUUGGUGUCAACCAAAUGGCAUCUCGUUUUCUAUUCCUACCCAUAGGAUUUGAGAUACAUGUCAUCUCAUUUCCUACAAAAUUCUUAUCCCUAAGAUAAUCAUAUCCUAUGAACCAAAAGAGACCUAAAUGUUGAGAAGACGAAGCGCAUGCAAGAAGUUGUUUGUGGGUGUGCGGUGAGUACAUCUUACUAUAAUGUAUGAUGUGUUUGCACAAAAAACUGGACAGAAAAAUGAAAUGUAAAUAUUUCGCUAACGUUUGAAUGUGGUGUUCUUGUUCAUGGUAAGGCGGGGUGGAGAACACAAGGUCUUGCCGUUGUGAGUGCCCUACACUGAUAAGAUUGUUGAGAUCAAAGGACAAUGGCUGGUACAUAGCAGAGCACCAUGAGCAGCACACUCGUUUGUUGUCCCCGACGUAUGGGCAGACAAUACACUGGCCGUCUGCCCAUCACACAAGCAUAUAAAUGUCUACAACCGGGAUUUGGUGAAGAAGCUUCGGCAGCAAUGUCAACCUUGCAAAGGUGUACAACAUUAUUGGUAGCUUCUUUGGAUCCAUGGAAAAGGUCCUUUCACAAAGAGGGCGUUGAAGAAUCUGUGUGGUAAGAUAAACCAUGAGCAGGCAGAGGAUGAUGUAAGGAAAACAAUGGAAGUUUUUGCCGAGCUUUUUGCGAGAGAUCCACACUUGCACCCUUCACCAUGUGCAAGCUGACAAGGGCAGUAGGGUCACAUCGUUGAUGUGGGCAAAUAGAAGUAGUAGAAAGCAGUACACCUUCUUCGACAAUGUUGUUAUGUUUGACAUGACUUACAACACAAACCUCUAUAAUACGCCCUUUGGGCUUUUCGUCAGAGUUAACAACCAUUUUCAAAGCAUAAUACUCGCGGGAGUGCUAGUCCGUGACAAGAUGGUGGAGACAUUUGAGUGGGCUAUCUCUGAGAUCGUUAGGAUGAUGGGAGGCAAUGCGCCAAAACAAUUUUGACAGGUACAAGUUUAUGCACAUGAUAGUGCUAAUUGCAAUCGGAUGAGGUUAGCACGCACACACACACACAGAGAGAGAGAGAGAGAGGGAGAGAGAGAGAGAGAGAGAGAUAGAUAGAUAGAUAGAUAGAUAGAGAGAUGGCAGUCGUUUCGAGGAAGAAGAAAGCCUCGAUGUUAUCCCGAAACUCUUCGUUUGGGAGUGGAACGAAGAAUUCAUCUUUGUUUUUUCACGGGUAGAAUUCAUCUUUGGUGCUGCCGCGGACGAAGACCGUCUCUUUGGCCCAACAGGCCAUGAGGAUACCUCUUCGGUCGAGGAAAGAGUCUUUUCGGUCCACGAGGGAACGAAGAGUGAUCUUCAGUCAUGGCAUGACCCAUGAGGUUUAAUAUAAAAAAGUCCAAAGACAAAUUUGCUAUGGAAACAUCAUACCCUAGAGUUUUUAUGGGAGGAUGAGCCCCAGACUUCAUGGUUGAAUGCCUUUCAAACGAUGUAACUAUAUUACCUAUGCAAUAAGGUAUCCAUGAUGGCAUUCCCCCAAAAAAGAUAUAAUAAAUUAUACACUCUCGAAACUUCCACGUUCCAUCAAGAUAUUUAUCAGACCAUAUGUAUUUCUAACAAUAUAUGCAUGAAUAAUAAGACAAGCGCGAACAUAUACGUAUACCUAUGAUACAUCAAAGUGUCAUAAAAUUGGUCAAUGGAGGGCGUAAUUUCGUUUAGUUUGUAUCUUUAUGUGGUCUAGGUGGAGCUCCCAUAUUGCCUAAGUUUUGUACGAGGAAAUAUCUCGAGGGUAAAAAUUAACAUGACUUUCCUUUUAGAAUAUUAUUUAAGCCUAGUGUACAAUAACAUCAUAGUUGAAUAUUCAAUUGUUGUAUUUGAAUAUUUAAAUGUACAAUUAUAUUUUUAAUUUGGUUAAAGAUAAUAGAAAUAUACCAUUUAAGACCAUGCUUAGGUGCAUUUAGUUAUAAAGUAGUAAAAAAUGUUCACCUCGGUGUGGGUGCAUGGCGGUUGCGGAGAUGAUGUACGCCGGCGGCUAAAGGUGCGGCCGGAUAUAAAGGAUAACGCAGGCUUGCGGACGAUGAGCACGUGACCAGACGAGGUACGCCAGCGUUGUGGGCGAAUAUAAAAGGGGGGACGACGCGAUGGGUCGGUCGACUAGGAUAGGGAGUCGACCAGUCCGACGCCAAAUCCUAUUCUGCGCUCCAUAACGAAACGGGCCGGCCCACUUAGCACUGGUAGUGCGGUUUUCCUAUUAUGGUGCCGGUUUCUUUUGUUUGUUUUCUGUCCGUUUUCUGCUGGCAUUUGUUCAUUUUUUUAACUUUUCCGUUUUCUAUUUAUUUCCUUUUUAUUUUUCUUCAUUUUAAUUUUAGUGAACUUUUCUUUUUAAAGUUUGUGAUUUUUUUAGAUUCACAAAUUUUGACCAAAUUCGUCAACUUUUUCCAAAUUAUCUAAUCUUUUACCCAAUUUUGCAUUUUUUUCUGAAAUUCGUGGCUUUUUCAAAUCCAUGAAUUUUUUCAAAUUUUGUUUUGAAGUAAAAAAAACUAAAUUCUUGAACUUUUUUUAAAUUCAUGAACUCUUAUCCAAAUUCAUUAAAUGUUUUAAAUUUUUGCAUAUUUUUCAAAUUCAUGAACUUUUUCAAUUUUGUGAAGUUUUCUCGAAACCCGUGAACAUUUUUUGAGUUCUAUACUUUUUGAAAUCACAUGAACUUUCUCGAAAAAGAAAAUGGUCAACAAUCUAAGUCAAAGGUCAACUUAUCAAAAAGUGAACCAGUCAAACCAUCAACCCGCUCAGCCACUCGCUCACCCGUGCCAUGUGGUGAGCAUCAGUUUGUUGGGCCGGCCCACAAGCCCUCUCACGCGAGCAUCGUUUGCUUAAACAGGGCAGCAUGUGCUGAGGAGGAGGUCUAUAGUCCUACUGCGUUUGUUGACUUCAUUCGCGAUCAGGCGGAAGAGUCGAUUUUUGUCUGCACGUGGCUAAAGAUGACGUUUUCGUCCAAGCAUGGCCAAAGAUGGGCUCUUUGUUGUGGCUCCGGGUGAAAAUCAUCUCUUCAGUCAAUGUUAGACCAAAGAGGGCUUCUAGAUCCACCUCUUCACGUAAACUGCCAACAAAGUUGCAUAUCGUUUUUAGGGUGGACGAAAAGUUGCUCUUUGUUUUGUUGUGGAUGAAUUUUUUUUUUCUGAUUGCCCUCAUCAUUCCCUCUCACGCCCUUUUCCUUCCCGCCCUUUCCCUUCCCGACAUCCCUCCCCCGCCCUUUUCCUUCCCGCCAUCACCUCUCUUGUGCUUUUUCUUUCCGACAUCUCACUCCUCCUCCUUUGUUCCUUUCCACUCGUUCUCUUGCCUCGCUCAUUCUAUUAAACUCCUCCCCUACUUGUUGAUUAUGAAUGUCCCAAACUUGUCCUCCAUCGUCCUCUGAUUAGCCUUCCCUCACCUUCAUCUUCUUCAAAAUUACCAGAAUCUAUAUCACCCGCUAAUCUAUCAUCAUCCUUCUCUUCCAUCACCCUGUGCAUUUCCUUCCCUUUCACAUUCCCAUUAGACAAACCACUACCACCAAUUACUACUGAUUGACUGCUCAACCCUACUUCAUGACCAAUGAAAAUGUGUAACACAUAAUUUGACUCUACAUCGGGAUGGCUAACAUCCACUGGUUGUGACCCAGGUGGAUCAAUGUCAUUAUAAUUAGACGACUGGCUACCUUGGUCGGGUUCAUAGCAUAUACCCCAUCGCCAUCCAACAAACUCUCCUACUUCCAUCAAGAUAUUUAUCAGACCAUAUGUAUUUCUAACAAUAUAUGCAUGAAUAAUAAGACAAGCACGAACAUAUACAUAUACCUAUGAUACAUCAAAGUGUCAUAAAAUUGGUCAAUGGAGGGCGUAAUUUUGUUUAGUUUGCAUCUUUAUGUGGUCUAGGUGGAGCUCCCAUAUUGCCUAAGUUCUGUACGAGGAAAUAUCUCGAGAGUAAAAAUUAACAUGACUUUCCUUUUAAGAUAUCAUUUAAGCCUAGUGUACAAUAACAUCAUAGUUGAAUAUUCAAUUGUUGUAUUUGAAUAUUUAAAUGUAUAAUUAUAUUUUUAAUUUGGAUAAAGAUAAUAGAAAUAUACUAUACCAUUUAAGACCAUGCUUAGGUGCAUUUAUUUAGUUAUAAAGUAGUAAAAAAUGUUCAGCUCGGUGCGGGGGUGUGGCGUCGCGAGUUCGGUUGCGGACGAUGAGCACGGUUGCGGAGGAUGUACACCGAUAUCGGAAGGUGCGGGCGAAUAUAAAGGACGGCGUGAUGGUCGACUAGGAUAGAGAGUCAGACUAGUCCGACGCCAAAUCGCGCUCGGGGCGCAGACACCCCCGACCGAAACGGGCCAACCCACUUCGUACUGUACCGGUAUGCGGUUUCUAGUUUUUUUUUGUGGCCGGUUCUUUUGUGUUUUUUUUCUGUCUCUUUUUUGCUGGUUUUUGUUAUUUUUUUUCUUUCAAGUUUUGUCUUCAUUUUUCCUUCAUUAUUCAUUUUUAUUUUCAUGAAAAUUUCUUUUACAUAUUCAUGAUUUAUUUUAAAUUUGCAAAUUUUGUCCAAAUUUGUGAAAAAACAAAUAUCUUUUUCCGAAUUUCAAUGUUUUCAAAUUCAUGAAUAUUUUCCCAAAUUCACAAAAAAAAAUCAAAUUCAUGAUUUUUUCCAAAUUAACAGUUUUCCCUAAAUUUCCUGAACUUUUCAAAUGUGUUAACUUUUUAAAAACCCAUGAAUGUUUUUUCCGAAUGCUGCAAUUUUUAAGAUCACAUGAACUUUUCAAAAAAAGUCAAUGGUCAAGGGUCUAAGUCAAUGGCCAAUCUGCCAAAAGGUGGACCAAUCAAACCAUCAACCCGCUUAGCCACUCGCUCACCCGUGCGUGUGGUGACCACAGGUUUGUUUGGCCAGCCCACAACGCUCUCUUGUGUGAGCACCGUUUGCUUAAUUGGUGCACAAGCGCUACGAAGGAGGUCUCUAGUUUGAAUGUGUUUGUCAACUUCAUUCGCGGACAGGCCGAAGAGCCAGUUUUUGUCCGCACCUUGGUCAAAGAGGACAUUUUCGUCCACAUAUGGGCCAAAGACGGGCUCUUCUUUGCGGCUCCGGACGAAAAUCAUCUCUUCAGUCAUUGUUAGAUUGAAGAGGGCUUCUAGGCCCAUCUCUUCGCGUAAACUUCCUAACGAAGUUGCAUGCCAUUCUUAGGGCGAACAAGAGUUGCUCUUCCUUUCUAUUGAGGAAGAAGUCUUUUUUUAUUGCCCUUCAUCAUUCCCUCUCACGUCCUUUUCCUUCCCACCAUCCAUCUCCCGCUCUUUCCCUUCUCGUCAUCCCUCUUCUACCCAUUCCCUUCCAGCCGUCAUCUCUCACACGCCUUUUCUUCUCUACAUCUCACUCAUCCUCCCAUGUUCCUUCCCACCCUCUUGCCUCGCUCAUUCUAUUAACCCCCCCCCCCACUUGCUGUCUCUGAACGUCCCAAACUUAUCAUCCAUUGUCCUCUGCUUAGCCUUCACAUAACGAAUUUCAUAGUUAUAUGUUGCUUUCACCGCAUUUUGGUGUGCUUCGCUUCCAUGUCUUUCUUCUCCACUAUCUCAUUUAUACAUGAGUUUUUUAUGAGAGUUGAAUUCAGGUUGGGAUGAUCAACUAGAAUGUUUUUCCUCACAUAAUUAUAUGGAACAAUAUUAGUGACAACCCAGUGCAUGUUUCACUUGGGCAUGUGGUCGUGCACCUUGUCGAGAACCAUUUUAAGCACAUUUCAAAGUUAUAAGUUUGUUUGACUUGAUAUGUGUGUGUGAAAACCCUAUGCACCGACAUAGCCCGCUCCAUUAUGUCACUUCAUUCUUCAGUUGUUUCUUUAUGGCAUAAAUAGCGAAAACUCAAAACGGUGCCCGGGCUCAUCUGCUCCCUCUCAGCAAAAAAAAACAAAAAAAAAUAAUAGAAAUUUUUUAAAAAUUCCAAAAAAAAUUUGGUGGUAGAUAAUUUGACGCGUGAGGUGCGCCCCAAAAUUCAACUUAUUUGGACAUCUGAGCAGCUCCCGGCAAAAAAGACAAAUCGGGUCAAAACAGUGCGUGAACAGUGAACAUUUUUACAGACCCUGAUUUUGUCUUUUUUGCCGAGAGCUGCUUAGAUGCUCAAAUGAGAUGAAUUUUGGGGCGCACCUCACGCGUCAAAUUAUCUACCACCAUAAAAAAAUUGGAAUUUUUUGAAUUUUUCUAGUAUUUUUUUAAAUUUUUUUCUAAGCGUAGGUGCAGAUGAGCCCGGGUGCAGAUUAGCCGCACUCCAUAAAUAGCACCUAUUUUGGACCUGGUUCUAAUGAUAUUCCCAUGCAGACUCAUGGACUCCCAUCGAUUCAUGGUCAGGCCGGUUGAGAGGCCCUGAUUCCAUGCAUAAGGAAUCGACACCUCCUACUUGUCGUCAUCCUCACUCACCUUCAUCUUCUUAAAAAAUAUCAGAAUCUAGAUCAUCCGCCAAUCCAUUCUCAUCCGCCAAUCCAUUGUCAUCCUUCUCUUCCAUCAUCCUUUGCAUUUUCUCCCCUUCCCCGUCCACAUUAGCCAAACCACUAGCAGCAAUAUUAGCCAAACCACUAGCAACAAUUACAGAUGACUGACUCCUCAACCCUGUUUCACGACAAACGACGACGUGUGGCAUGUAAUUUUACUAUUCAUCGGUUGUGACCCAGGUGGCUGAAUCUCAUUAGCCGACUGACUACCCUGGUUGGGUUCAUACACCCGGCCGCCUUCCAAUAAAUUCUCCUCCUUCGGCACAGUGAAUCAUCCGUUUUCUGCAACGCCUUAACCAGGUCAACCACUUAGGCUGGUCAUAGUGAGAAGUAACUUAGACUAGUAACAUGCAUAUGUUACUACCUCUAUAGUGCAUAUUAUCAUAGAUUAGUAUCAUAGAUGGUUUCAUUUAUUGCUAUGCAUGACACAUAGUAGCAUCACAUUUAUUAUGUUACGGUAUCUACCUAUGUUACUAUAACCAUCUUUCUCUUCUUUAAUUGCCUGCCACAUAAGCAUGUUUGCGAGUUCCAAGUGCAUGAUACUACUUAUGUUACCCCCACUAUGGUCAGCCUUAGGCUGGUCAUAGUGAGAAUAACAUAAGUCGUAACAUACAUGCCACAUAAGCAAAAAAGAUGAUGUGUCAGGUAAUUAAUGAAGAGAGAGGCAAAUAGAGUAACAUAAUAUGUUACCAUCACAUAGCGGUUUCCAAUGCAAAACGAGUCUACAAAGUAAUAAAUGAGGUGAUGCAUGACACACAUAUGUUACUACCCACUAUAGAGGUAGUAACAUAGACUAGUAACAUAUGCAUGUUACUAGUCUAAGUUACUCCUAUCUAUCAUGUUCAACUCCCACAAAACAUUUUUACCAGAUUUGGUCCAUACUGCAUAAAUACUAACGGAGCACUCGUUGGGAUCAGACCCAAGACUUGUUGUCAACCAGUAUUUCAACUUGUUGCCAUAGUAAACAGUGCAAUCCACGGACUCAGACAUGCCACCUGCCAUACAACUCCAUAUUUGCCAUUAAACACAUUGAACAAAUAGUCACUCCUAACAAUGGUAACCAACAGGGGUGCCCCUCGAGCAGCAACUGCAAUGACAUCCUUCCUCCCAACGGUGGCCCAAACCCUCCCCAGACUGUGCCCUCCCCUCUGGACACAGGCGAGGAAAGAAGACCUCGCAGCACGUAUUCUGCCAAUGCCUCCCAGCCUCCACGACACCAGCAAAGGCCUCCCUCCCCGUGCUUGACCCAAUCUAAAUCGGUAACAGCCGGCCAAAUCGAUACCCUGGGAGCUUAGUGAAUUUAGAGAUUCAUCUGCUGUUGAGUACACAACAAUUACCUCGCGAUAUGGAUGAACAAGACAAUCACAUCCCUGGAUCUGUAGAAAGAAGGGCUUCAUCUAGGCAGCAAAUGAGGUUUCGACAAGCAAUGAUCAAGUUCAGACUCCAUUUGUUUGCAAGAGCAGCGCGAGCCGAAAUUGCACCAUAAUACUCAGUGGUACUCUUCCAGCCGUCCAUCUCACACGCACAGACACAUUGUUCACAUCGAUAAUAACAAGACUAACAACGGAAUCGCCAAUCAAUCAAUAAAAUAGAGUCAAUUAAAACACAAGGAAAAUGACAAGUAGCCAAGAGCUAUAGGAGGAACCUGAUGGUGGAGACCACAACAUACUAGUACAAGUUCCCACAUAAGAGGUUCCGAGCAACUAUAUCAAAGAAAUGCUUUAUUAUUAUUCCACGGUUUGUCAACUUCGGAGGCUACAAGAACAGCAGGCGUAAUGUGUCGUCAAACAAAAUAAGACCCCAGAACAGGGAGCAAUCUAGAAUCAUAUAAGAAACCGACCAACAACUGACAAAUAUAGCUGCUCCAGGGCAUACCCCCCCUUCCUACAUGAUGUCAACACUCUAGGCUGCAAAACUUAAGACAGGGACAAUCAUUUUGCCUUUAUUCUCUUCGUACGGAGGAGUUAAACUCCUCCUUUA